UACAUAAGCUGGGGCCCCUAGAGAGCCUCAGAGACAGCUGAUCACCAAAAAGAUCAAGUAAUUAGAGCGUUGGAACUUUCAACCCCACCUCCAUUGACCUCCAGAGAGGAGGGAGCCUGGAAAUUGAGCUCUAUUAAAACUCAUACAAGAAAUUCAGAUGGUUUCCAGAAGCCUUCUUAAGCAAGCUCCCUCCCCUCUGCCAUAUCCUCAAAUAUAUCACUCUGGAUUCAAGUCUCUGCAUCUCCUACCUUCCAAAAAGGUGAAUGGUGGAAGGAGCAUUUAUCAUUCUAUCUCUUCUAGCUCUUUUUCUUAUAUCGUGUAAAACACCUACCAGCUUGAAUUCACCUAAACACCUAAUUAAAGGGUUUUUAAAAUAGAAGUCUUCUAGAUUAUUUACGAACAUGUUAAACAAAGCUGGGUUUGACCUUAAACUCUACAAGGUCUGCUAAUCUAAACCAAGAUCCUUCAUCCACAUGCUGCUUGAUUUUAAGCUCUCCAUUGUUGGGCAGCCUCGGUGGCGCGGCGGUUUAGCGCCGCCUGCAACCCACCGCGU